rnacentral:misc_RNA from 1 species
GGCCCUCAUUGAAUUAAUUAUGAAAAGCAAGUUGGCAAACAAGCUUUAAGACCCUUGCUUUGGGUAGGCGAAAUGGGAAACAUAAGGUGGAAGCAAAUACCAUAUGAACCAGCUGAAGCUGGAUUUACUUUAAUUAAGAAAAAUACAUAAGCAUAACACGGACACAACGAGGAUAAAGUGCAGAGCAUUAAGAGUACAUAGUACGUAGUCUGCUUUAUUUACUACAGCACACGCAGCACAUAGCUAGCCACACAAUAACAAUCUAGAAAACAUGCAUGGAUGAGUGCAGAGCAGGGCUCUGUUUUAUUUGCGCACAUUUAUGGCUUGAACUUUUGUAUAUGGUUAUCAAGUUUUGCCAGGGUUUCCACUGCAAUCUUUGCAAAGAGUGCAUCAAAUCUAUGAGCCAACUCUGAUUUAGCUUGGUCAUAGUUAUAGGUCCAGUUCCAUUCCACCCAUUUGUCAUUUGGGUAAAGUAUUGCAGCCUGGAAACGGUCGACGUUAUAUUGUUGGAGGAUAUCUCCUUCAGGUACAGUGUAAUUGAAUUUUUCCUGACUGUUUUCAGCGAUCUUCUCAGUCGAGUUUCUGAUAUUUUGAGAAGCUACAAAACAAAUUCACCAACUUCAAUUCUUUAAUAAUGAUUCAAUAACCAGUUACGUUAAUCAUAGUAUGUAUAUUAUGGCAUGCUUGCAUGCUUUUCAAGUAUAUAUUAAAGGCCAAAGAUUUGUUUUUUUAUAACCUAAAAGACCAAAGAAAUGCUAAAGAAUUAUCUUGGAGCGUGUACUUACCUGAGCCAUACUUCACAUGGCGCUUGGAAGGAUCUGCAUCUUCUGUAAUUGAUGUAUAUAUGUCAGGAGCCGCAGCAGGAAA